rnacentral:rRNA from 1 species
AAUCGAACUCGGAGAUAGCUGGUUCUCCCCGAAAUAGCUUUAGGGCUAGCCUCAGGGAAGAUUAUAGACGGUAGAGCACUGAUCUGGCAAGGGGGCGUAAAGCCUACCGACCCUAGUCAAACUUCGAAUGGCUAUAAUUAAGACCCUGGGAGUCAGACUGCGAGUGAUAAGACCCGUAGUCAAGAGGGAAACAGCCCAGACCGCCGACUAAGGUCCCCAAUGCUGUACUAAGUGGAAAAGGAUGUAAGACUUCAUAAACAACCAGGAUGUUGGCUUAGAAGCAGCCACCAUUAAAAGAGUGCGUAAUAGCUCACUGGUCGAGAGGCCUUGCGCCGAAGAUGUCCGGGGCUCAAGUACAGAACCGAAGUCGCGGCAGGAUUUAUAAUUCUGGGUAGGGGAGCGUUGUAUAUCCGACUGAAGGUGUACCGGAAGGAGCGCUGGAGGAUAUACAAGAGAGAAUGCCGGUAUGAGUAGCGAAAAGAACAGUGAGAAUCUGUUCCACCGAAAGCCUAAGGUUUCCUGAGCAACGCUCGUCGACUCAGGGUAAGUCGGGACCUAAGCCGAGGCAAAAAGCAUAGGCGAUGGACAACAGGUUAAUAUUCCUGUACCGCUUCAAAUCGUUUGAGCAAUGGAGUGACACAGAAGGUAGCUUGAGCACGCGAAUGGAUGUGCGUGUCGAAGGUGGUAGAUUGCAGUAUAGGCAAAUCCGUACUGUAUAAGAUCGAGAACUGAUAGAUAGACAAUACUUCGGUAAAGUCAAAUUCAAGUGAGCCAUGCUGUCGAGAAAAGCUUCUAGUGAGAGAUGAGGCGCCCGUACCGAAACCGACACAGGUAGGCGGGGAGAGAAUCCUAAGGUGCGCGGGACAACCCUCGUUAAGGAACUCGGCAAAUUGUAUCCGUAACUUAGGGAUAAGGAUAGCCGGAGGAUGUGAAGGGAUUUACUUCUGGAGCGUCAGCCGGUGGCACAAGAGAGGCCCAAGCGACUGUUUAGCACAAACACAGGUGCCUGCAAAAGAGAAAUCUGACGUAUAGGUGCUGACACCUGCCCGGUGCUGGAAGGUUAAGAGGAGGGCUUAGAGGCAACUCGAAGGCUUGAAUUGAAGCCCCAGUAAACGGCGGCCGUAACUAUAACGGUCCUAAGGUAGCGAAAUUCCUUGUCGGGUAAGUUCCGACCCGCACGAAAGGUGUAACGAUUUGGGCACUGUCUCAACGAGGGACCCGGUGAAAUUGAAGUACCUGUGAAGAUGCAGGUUACCCGCGACUGGACAGAAAGACCCCAUGGAGCUUUACUGCAACCUGACAUUGAUGUUCGGUAAAUAACGUACAGGAUAGGUGGGAGACGGAGAAGUAUUGGCGUUAGCUGAUAUGGAGUCAACCUUGGGAUACCACCCUUUAUUUAUUGGACCUCUAACUGAAGAAGUAACGACUCUCAGGACAGUAUCAGGCGGGCAGUUUGACUGGGGCGGUCGCCUCCCAAAAUGUAACGGAGGCGCCCAAAGGUUCCCUCAGCGCGAACGGAAACCGCGCAAAGAGUGUAAAGGCAGAAGGGAGCUUGACUGCGAGUCAGACACGACGAGCAGGUACGAAAGUAGGGCUUAGUGAUCCGGUGGUUCCGAGUGGAAGGGCCAUCGCUCAACGGAUAAAAGCUACCCUGGGGAUAACAGGCUAAUCUCUCCCAAGAGUUCAUAUCGACGGGGAGGUUUGGCACCUCGAUGUCGGCUCAUCACAUCCUGGGGCUGGAGUAGGUCCCAAGGGUUGGGCUGUUCGCCCAUUAAAGUGGUACGCGAGCUGGGUUCAGAACGUCGUGAGACAGUUCGGUCCAUAUCCAUCGCGGGCGUAAGAGACUUGAAGGGGGCUGCUCCUAGUACGAGAGGACCGGAGUGGACGGACCAAUGGUGUACCAAUUAUCCCGCCAGGGGUACAGUUGGGUAGCUACGUCCGGAAAAGAUAAACGCUGAAAGCAUCUAAGCGUGAAACUUGCCUUAAGAUGAGGUCUCCCGAAGCGAAAGCUUGA